rnacentral:rRNA from 1 species
CCUACGGGGGGCAGCAGUGAGGAAUAUUGGUCAAUGGGCUUACGCCUGAACCAGCCAAGUCGCGUGAGGGAAGACUGCCCUAUGGGUUGUAAACCUCUUUUGUCAGGGAGCAACGCCGGCUACGUGUAGCCGGACUGAGAGUACCUGAAGAAAAAGCAUCGGCUAACUCCGUGCCAGCAGCCGCGGUAAUACGGAGGAUGCGAGCGUUCUCCGGAUUGAUUGGGUUUAAAGGGUGCGUAGGCGGAAUGCCAAGUCAGCGGUAAAAUCGCGGGGCUCAACCUCGCUCCGCCGUUGACACUGGCGUUCUUGAGUGGGCGAGAAGUAUGCGGAAUGCGUGGUGUAGCGGUGAAAUGCAUAGAUAUCACGCAGAACUCCGAUUGCGAAGGCAGCAUACCGGCGCCCAACUGACGCUGAAGCACGAAAGCGUGGGUAUCGAACAGGAUUAGAUACCCUGGUAGUC